UACGUAGGGGGCAAGCGUUGUCCGGAAUCAUUGGGCGUAAAGAGCGUGUAGGCGGCUCGGUAAGUCCGCUGUAAAAGUCCAGGGCUCAACCCUGGAAAGCCGGUGGAAACUGUCGAGCUAGAGUCCAGAAGAGGCGAGUGGAAUUCCUGGUGUAGCGGUGAAAUGCGCAGAUAUCAGGAAGAACACCAAUGGCGAAGGCAGCUCUCUGGGACGGUACUGACGCUGAGACGCGAAAGCGUGGGGAGCGAACAGG
rnacentral:rRNA from 1 species